AGUGAACGCUGGCGGUAGGCCUAACACAUGCAAGUCGAACGGCAGCACAGUAAGAGCUUGCCCUUACGGGUGGCGAGUGGCGGACGGGUGAGGAAUACAUCGGAAUCUACUUUUUCGUGGGGGAUAACGUAGGGAAACUUACGCUAAUACCGCAUACGACCUACGGGUGAAAGCAGGGGAUCUUCGGACCUUGCGCGAUUGAAUGAGCCGAUGUCGGAUUAGCUAGUUGGCGGGGUAAAGGCCCACCAAGGCGACGAUCCGUAGCUGGUCUGAGAGGAUGAUCAGCCACACUAGAACUGAGACGCGGUCCAGACUCCUACGAGAGGCAGCAGUGGGGAAUAUUGGACAAUGGGCGCAAGCCUGAUCCAGCCAUACCGCGUGGGUGAAGAAGGCCUUCGGGUUGUAAAGCCCUUUUGUUGGGAAAGAAAAGCAGCAGGUUAAUACCCCGCUGUUCUGACGGUACCCAAAGAAUAAGCACCGGCUAACUUCGUG
rnacentral:rRNA from 1 species